rnacentral:rRNA from 1 species
UGGGGAAUAUUGGACAAUGGGGGAAACCCUGAUCCAGCCAUCCCGCGUGUGCGAUGAAGGCCUUCGGGUUGUAAAGCACUUUUGGCAGGAAAGAAACGUCGCGGGUUAAUACCCCGCGGAACUGACGGUACCUGCAGAAUAAGCACCGGCUAACUACGUGCCAGCAGCCGCGGUAAUACGUAGGGUGCAAGCGUUAAUCGGAAUUACUGGGCGUAAAGCGUGCGCAGGCGGUUCGGAAAGAAAGAUGUGAAAUCCCAGAGCUUAACUUUGGAACUGCAUUUUUAACUACCGGGCUAGAGUGUGUCAGAGGGAGGUGGAAUUCCGCGUGUAGCAGUGAAAUGCGUAGAUAUGCGGAGGAACACCGAUGGCGAAGGCAGCCUCCUGGGAUAACACCGACGCUCAUGCACGAAAGCGUGGGGAGCAAACA